CCUACGGGAGGCAGCAGUGAGGAAUAUUGGUCAAUGGACGAGAGUCUGAACCAGCAAAGUAGCGUGAAGGAUGACUGCUCUAUGGGUUGUAAACUUCUUUUAUAUGGGAGUAAAAUGUUCCACGUGUGGGAUUUUGUAUGUACCAUAUGAAUAAGGAUCGGCUAACUCCGUGCCAGCAGCCGCGGUAAUACGGAGGAUCCGAGCGUUAUCCGGAUUUAUUGGGUUUAAAGGGAGCGUAGGUGGAUUGUUAAGUCAGUUGUGAAAGUUUGCGGCUCAACCGUAAAAUUGCAGUUGAAACUGGCAGUCUUGAGUACAGUAGAGGUAGGCGGAAUUCGUGGUGUAGCGGUGAAAUGCUUAGAUAUCACGAAGAACACCGAUUGCGAAGGCAGUUCACUGGACUGCAACUGACACUGAGGCUCGAAAGUGUGGGUAUCAAACAGGAUUAGAUACCCUUGUAGUC
rnacentral:rRNA from 1 species